GCCUGAGGCAAGCACAUCAUUGCCUCACCCUGCUCCUGGGCCAGCAAUGCUGUGUCGAUGUGCCACAGCUGGUUUAUCCAACUGAAGAAUUUUGCAUUGUUUCAAGUUUGGGAACGAUAUUUGUCCCAAUUCUAUAAGGCAAGGAGGGAGACAUUUUCAACUUCUUUCUGCCACCAGCUUCCCUACAAGAAAACUACAAAGAGAAGAAGAGAGACAUGAGGAUGGAUGACGGUGAAUGGAGGCAUAGAGGAACAUUAUGAACACAAUAACCCAGGACCAUAAACUAAGAUGAGUCAUAAUAGAACCGCCAGAUUGCUUGGAAAACACCUGUUACAUAGACAAAACGAGGCACCUGUGGAUGUCUGCUUCAAGUACACAA